rnacentral:rRNA from 1 species
AGAGUUUGAUCAUGGCUCAGAAUCAACGCUGGCGGCGCGCCUAACACAUGCAAGUCGAACGAGAAAGCCGCAAGGCAAGUAAAGUGGCGUACGGGUGAGUAACACGUGGAUCAUCUGCCUUUUAGUGGGGAAUACCGUUGGGAAACCGACGACAAUACCGCAUAAUCCCGAGAGGGGAAAGCAGCAAUGCGCUGAAAGAGGAGUCCGCGGUCGAUUAGUUAGUUGGCGGGGUAAAAGCCCACCAAGACUGUGAUCGAUAGCCGGCCUGAGAGGGCACACGGCCACACUGGCACUGAAACACGGGCCAGACUCCUACGGGAGGCAGCAGUGGGGAAUCUUGCACAAUGGGGGAAACCCUGAUGCAGCGACGCCGCGUGAGCGAUGAAGCCCUUCGGGGUGUAAAGCUCUUUCGGCAGGGAAGAUAAUGACGGUACCUGCAGAAGCAGCUGCGGCUAACUACGUGCCAGCAGCCGCGGUAAUACGUAGGCAGCAAGCGUUGUUCGGAGUUACUGGGCGUAAAGGGUGCGUAGGCGGCUAUUUAAGUUUGGUGUGAAAUCUCCCGGCUCAACCGGGAGGGUGCGCCGAAUACUGAGUGGCUAGAGUGCGGGAGAGGAAAGUGGAAUUCCUGGUGUAGCGGUGAAAUGCGUAGAUAUCAGGAGGAACACCGGUGGUGUAAACGGCUUUCUGGACCGUAACUGACGCUGAGGCACGAAAGCGUGGGUAGCAAACAGGAUUAGAUACCCUAGUAGUCC